CCUACGGGUGGCAGCAGUGGGGAAUAUUGGACAAUGGGCGAAAGCCUGAUCCAGCCAUGCCGCGUGUGUGAAGAAGGCCUUCGGGUUGUAAAGCACUUUCAGUGGGGAAGAAAGCCUUGGGGCUAAUACCCUCGAGGAAGGACAUCACCCACAGAAGAAGCACCGGCUGAACUCCGUGCCAGCAGCCGCGGUAAUACGGAGGGUGCGAGCGUUAAUCGGAAUUACUGGGCGUAAAGCGCGCGUAGGCGGUCUGAUAAGCCGGUUGUGAAAGCCCCGGGCUCAACCUGGGAACGGCAUCCGGAACUGUCAGGCUAGAGUGCAGGAGAGGAAGGUAGAAUUCCCGGUGUAGCGGUGAAAUGCGUAGAGAUCGGGAGGAAUACCAGUGGCGAAGGCGGCCUUCUGGACUGACACUGACGCUGAGGUGCGAAAGCGUGGGUAGCAAACAGGAUUAGAUACCCUGGUAGUC
rnacentral:rRNA from 1 species